UUUUUUUUUUUUUUUUUUUUUUUUUUUUUUUUUUUUUUUUUUUUUUUUUUUUUUUUUUUUUUUUUUUUUUUUUUUUUUUUUUUUUUUUUUUUUUUUUUUUUUUUUUUUUUUUUUUUUUUUUUUUUUUUUUUUUUUUUUUUUUUUUUUUUUUUUUUUUUUUUUUUUUUUUUUUUUUUUUUUUUUUUUUUUUUUUUUUUUUUUUUUUUUUUUUUUUUUUUUUUUUUUUUUUUUUUUUUUUUUUUUUUUUUUUUUUUUUUUUUUUUUUUUUUUUUUUUUUUUUUUUUUUUUUUUUUUUUUUUUUUUUUUUUUUUUUUUUUUUUUUUUUUUUUUUUUUUUUUUUUUUUUUUUUUUUUUUUUUUUUUUUUUUUUUUUUUUUUUUUUUUUUUUUUUUUUUUUUUUUUUUUUUUUUUUUUUUUUUUUUUUUUUUUUUUUUUUUUUUUUUUUUUUUUUUUUUUUUUUUUUUUUUUUUUUUUUUUUUUUUUUUUUUUUUUUUUUUUUUUUUUUUUUUUUUUUUUUUUUUUUUUUUUUUUUUUUUUUUUUUUUUUUUUUUUUUUUUUUUUUUUUUUUUUUUUUUUUUUUUUUUUUUUUUUUUUUUUUUUUUUUUUUUUUUUUUUUUUUUUUUUUUUUUUUUUUUUUUUUUUUUUUUUUUUUUUUUUUUUUUUUUUUUUUUUUUUUUUUUUUUUUUUUUUUUUUUUUUUUUUUUUUUUUUUUUUUUUUUUUUUUUUUUUUUUUUUUUUUUUUUUUUUUUUUUUUUUUUUUUUUUUUUUUUUUUUUUUUUUUUUUUUUUUUUUUUUUUUUUUUUUUUUUUUUUUUUUUUUUUUUUUUUUUUUUUUUUUUUUUUUUUUUUUUUUUUUUUUUUUUUUUUUUUUUUUUUUUUUUUUUUUUUUUUUUUUUUUUUUUUUUUUUUUUUUUUUUUUUUUUUUUUUUUUUUUUUUUUUUUUUUUUUUUUUUUUUUUUUUUUUUUUUUUUUUUUUUUUUUUUUUUGUUUUUUUCCAUACUAACCCUAAACCCUAGCUAAGGCUCUCCCCUCAUGGGGACCCAAUUCCAACGUCUGACAGCAUCACGCGCCUGGGGUCCAGAAGCGGUGGCAGGCUGACUCGGCAAGGCACCUGAAGCUCAC
rnacentral:lncRNA from 1 species